GACGAACGCUGGCGGCGUGCUUAACACAUGCAAGUCGAACGGUAAGGCCCCUUCGGGGGUACGACGAGUGGCGAACGGGCGAGUAACACGUGAGCAACCUGCCCUUGACUUCGGAAUACCAGCUGGAAACAGCUGCUAAUACCGGAUAUGACUCCGACCGUCCUCGGUCGGGGUGGAAAGCUCCGGCGGUCAGGGAUGGGCUCGCGGCCUAUCAGCUUGUUGGUGAGGUAAUGGCUCACCAAGGCUUCGACGGGUAGCCGGCCUGAGAGGGCGACCGGCCACACUGGGACUGAGAUACGGCCCAGACUCCUACGGGAGGCAGCAGUGGGGAAUAUUGCACAAUGGGCGCAAGCCUGAUGCAGCAACGCCGCGUGCGGGAUGACGGCCUCGGUU
rnacentral:rRNA from 1 species